CUGUAGCCAACUAAGCCAACCGUGCUCUUUUCCCCAUGGGAGCCCAGGGUGCAAUGGCCUCAAGCAGCCUCCCCAGUGGUGCAUGCUGCCUUCCUAAGUGACCUGAGAGACAAGC
rnacentral:snoRNA from 1 species